AUGAUACGUACUCCCUCCGUUCGGAAUUACUUGUCUCGAAGGUGGAUGUAUCUAUCGAAGGUGGAUGUAUCUAGAACUAAAAUACGUUUAGAUACAUCCAUUUUUGCGACAAGUAAUUUCGAACGGAGGGAGUACGUACUACGUACUGAUCCAGGGUGUGCGGAGGGGGACUUGUUUACCGCUGUAGAAGACAGGCAAGAUCGAAUCGCUUGCGUAAAGCACGGUUAUCUUUUCCGAAAGGCUCACACCCAAGGAUGUUUGCUCCGGAAGAGAAAGGAUCCCACAACGGGCCUGCGGUACAAUGAUUGGGAAAAGCGGGCGAGAGGAGGCCCGGGGGGGUGGGGGGACGCCUUUCGGCGGCCUCGAAAAGCAGAUUCAGUGAACGAAUUGCCGCUGCUGCGAGCGCGCUUGAGUGACACGGCCUUCCAUUUCCUUCUUUCAGUGCCCGAUCGGAAUACUUACCUGUCCUGUUUGAGGCUAAUGGCCAGGUUCCGUUUCGGUGCAGGUUCUCACGUUGGCAUCCAGUUCGUGGCUCGGUGCGAUUCUACUUUUGACUACGUAGUGCUAGUAGUGGAUUGCCUGGUCCGGAGGGCCCGAUGCUGGAUGCUGCUGGGAACCGCAUGA
rnacentral:rRNA from 1 species